rfam:Prevotella sp. CAG:891 genomic scaffold, scf340
AGACAAGAGGACAGAUUUGGCUGCUUGCAACCUCUAUAAAACAAUGCUAAAACUCGCACA